UACGGAGGGUGCAGGCGUUAUCCGGAUUCACUGGGUUUAAAGGGUGCGUAGGCGGGCAGGUAAGUCAGUGGUGAAAUCUCAGAGCUUAACUCUGAAACUGCCAUUGAUACUAUCUGUCUUGAAUUCUCUGGAGGUGAGCGGAAUAUGUCAUGUAGCGGUGAAAUGCUUAGAUAUGACAUAGAACACCCAUUGCGAAGGCAGCUCACUACGGAGUCAUUGACGCUGAGGCACGAAAGCGUGAGGAUCAAACAGG
rnacentral:rRNA from 1 species